AUUGAACGCUGGCGGCAUGCCUAACACAUGCAAGUCGAACGGGGGUAGCAAUACUCCAGUGGCGGACGGGUGAGGAAUACAUAGGAAUUUGCCCUUAAGUGGGGGAUAGCCCGGGGAAACCCGGAUUAAUGCCGCAUGAACUCGUGAGAGCAAAGUCGGGGACCGCAAGGCCUGGCGCUUUUGGAGAAGCCUAUGUCGGAUUAGCUUGUUGGUGAGGUAAUGGCUCACCAAGGCCGCGAUACGUAACUGGUCUGAGAGGAUGAUCAGUCACACCGGAACUGAGACACGGUCCGGACUCCUACGGGAGGCAGCAGUGGGGAAUAUUGGACAAUGGGCGAAAGCCUGAUCCAGCAAUGCCGCGUGUGUGAAGAAGGCCUUCGGGUUGUAAAGCACUUUAGGCUGGAAAGAAAAAGCUUUGGCUAAUAUCCAAAGCCUUGACGGUACCAGCAGAAUAAGCACCGGCUAACUCUGUGCCAGCCGCCGCGGUAAAAC
rnacentral:rRNA from 1 species